UUUAAAUGUAAAUUUUAUUACUAGAUUAGUAUUAGUUAUGUUCUUGAAAAUUAAAAAAUUUGGCGGUAUUUUAGUCUAUUCAGAGGAACCUGUCCUAUAAUUGAUAUUCCACGAUUAAAUUUAUUUACUUUAUUAAGUUUGUAUAUCGUCGUAGUUUGAAUAUUUUAGAAGAAAAAGAAUAUUCAAAAUUUUUUAUAUAAAAAAUAAAUCAGAUCAAGGUGCAGUUUAUAAGUAAGGAGAGAUGGGUUACAAUAAUAAUAUUUAUAAUGAAUAUAAAAAUUUAAAUUUUAUUGAAAGUGGAUUUGAAAGUAAUUUUAAUUAGUUAAUUAAAAUGAUUUUAGCUCUAAAAUAUGU
rnacentral:rRNA from 1 species